GACGAACCGUGCAAACGUUAUUCGGAAUCACUGGGCUUAAAGGGCGCGUAGGCGGGCUGUCAAGUCUGGGGUGAAAUCCCGCGGCUCAACCGUGGAACUGCCUCAGAUACUGACGGCCUCGAGGGAGGUAGGGGCAUGCGGAACUGUAGGUGGAGCGGUGAAAUGCGUUGAUAUCUACAGGAACUCCGGUGGCGAAAGCGGCGUGCUGGACCUCUUCUGACGCUGAGGCACGAAAGUGAGGGGAGCGAACGGG
rnacentral:rRNA from 1 species